UUCGUGAUAGCUGGUUCUCUCCGAAAUAUAUUUAGGUAUAGCGUUGUGUCGUAAUAUAAGGGGGUAGAGCACUGAAUGGGCUAGGGCAUACACCAAUGUACCAAACCCUAUCAAACUCCGAAUACCUUAUAUGUAAUCACAGCAGUCAGGCGGCGAGUGAUAAAAUCCGUCGUCAAGAGGGAAACAACCCAGACUACCAGCUAAGGUCCCUAAAUCUUACUUAAGUGGAAAACGAUGUGAAGUUACUUAAACAACCAGGAGGUUGGCUUAGAAGCAGCCAUCCUUUAAAGAAAGCGUAAUAGCUCACUGGUCUAGUGAUUUUGCGCGGAAAAUAUAACGGGGCUAAAGUAAGUACCGAAGCUGUAGACUUGCGCACAACUUAGAUUAUUUAAGUUUAGAAUAUGAGAAACUAAGUUAUAUUUUUACUGAUUUUUAUAGAGUAAAGAUAGAAAUAAAACUUAGUAAAAUCAGUAAAAAUAUUCUUAGGCUAAAGUUAAGUAGUUUAAGUUGUGUGCAAGUGGUAGGAGAGCGUUCUAUUUGCGUCGAAGGUAUACCGGUAAGGAGUGCUGGAGCGAAUAGAAGUGAGCAUGCAGGCAUGAGUAGCGAUAAUUAAUGUGAGAAUCAUUAACGCCGUAAACCCAAGGUUUCCUACGCGAUGCUCGUCAUCGUAGGGUUAGUCGGGUCCUAAGUCGAGUCCGAAAGGGGUAGACGAUGGCAAAUUGGUUAAUAUUCCAAUACCAACAUUAGUGUGCGAUGGAAGGACGCUUAGGGCUAAGGGGGCUAGCGGAUGGAAGUGCUAGUCUAAGGUCGUAGGAGGUUAUACAGGCAAAUCCGUAUAACAAUACUCCGAGAACUGAAAGGCUUUUUGAAGUCUUCGGAUGGAUAGAAGAACCCCUGAUGCCGUCGAGCCAAGAAAAGUUUCUAAGUUUAGCUAAUGUUGCCCGUACCGUAAACCGACACAGGUGGGUGGGAUGAGUAUUCUAAGGCGCGUGGAAGAACUCUCUUUAAGGAACUCUGCAAAAUAGCACCGUAUCUUCGGUAUAAGGUGUGGUUAGCUUCGUACUAGGAUUUACUCCGAAAGCGAAGAAACUUACAACAAAGAGUCCCUCCCGACUGUUUACCAAAAACACAGCACUCUGCUAACUCGUAAGAGGAUGUAUAGGGUGUGACGCCUGCCCGGUGCUCGAAGGUUAAUUGAUGGGGUUAGCAUUAGCGAAGCUCUUGAUCGAAGCCCGAGUAAACGGCGGCCGUAACUAUAACGGUCCUAAGGUAGCGAAAUUCCUUGUCGGUUAAAUACCGACCUGCAUGAAUGGCGUAACGAGAUGGGAGCUGUCUCAAAGAGGGAUCCAGUGAAAUUGUAGUGGAGGUGAAAAUUCCUCCUACCCGCGGCAAGACGGAAAGACCCCGUGGACCUUUACUACAGCUUGACACUGCUAUUUGGAUAAGAAUGUGCAGGAUAGGUGGGAGGCUUUGAGUAUAUGACGCCAGUUGUAUAGGAGCCAUUGUUGAGAUACCACUCUUUCUUAUUUGGGUAGCUAACCAGCUUGAGUUAUCCUCAAGUGGGACAAUGUCUGGUGGGUAGUUUGACUGGGGCGGUCGCCUCCCAAAUAAUAACGGAGGCUUACAAAGGUUGGCUCAGAACGGUUGGAAAUCGUUCAUAGAGUAUAAAGGUAUAAGCCAGCUUAACUGCAAGACAUACAAGUCAAGCAGAGACGAAAGUCGGUCUUAGUGAUCCGGUGGUUCUGUGUGGAAGGGCCAUCGCUCAAAGGAUAAAAGGUACCCCGGGGAUAACAGGCUGAUCUCCCCCAAGAGCUCACAUCGACGGGGAGGUUUGGCACCUCGAUGUCGGCUCAUCGCAUCCUGGGGCUGGAGCAGGUCCCAAGGGUAUGGCUGUUCGCCAUUUAAAGCGGUACGCGAGCUGGGUUCAGAACGUCGUGAGACAGUUCGGUCCCUAUCUGCCGUGGGCGUAAGAAGAUUGAAGAGAUUUGACCCUAGUACGAGAGGACCGGGUUGAACAAACCACUGGUGUAGCUGUUGUUCUGCCAAGAGCAUCGCAGCGUAGCUAAGUUUGGAAAGGAUAAACGCUGAAAGCAUCUAAGCGUGAAGCCAACUCUAAGAUGAAUCUUCUCUAAGCUCUCUAGAAGACUACUAGUUUGAUAGGCUGGGUGUGUAAUGGAUGAAAGUCCUUUAGCUGACCAGUACUAAUAGAGCGUUUGGCUUAUCU
rnacentral:rRNA from 1 species